rnacentral:rRNA from 1 species
GACGAACGCUGGCGGCGUGCUUAACACAUGCAAGUCGAACGGAAAGGCCCUGCUUGCAGGGUGCUCGAGUGGCGAACGGGUGAGUAACACGUGGGUGAUCUGCCCCUUACUUUGGGAUAAGCCUGGGAAACUGGGUCUAAUACUGGAUAGGACCAUGCUGUAGGUGGUGUGGUGGAAAGAUUUUUUCGGUAAGGGAUGAGCUCGCGGCCUAUCAGCUUGUUGGUGGGGUAAUGGCCUACCAAGGCGUCGACGGGUAGCCGGCCUGAGAGGGUGGACGGCCACAUUGGGACUGAGAUACGGCCCAGACUCCUACGGGAGGCAGCAGUGGGGAAUAUUGCACAAUGGGCGCAAGCCUGAUGCAGCGACGCCGCGUGGGGGAUGCCGGCCUUCGGGUUGUAAACUCCUUUCAGCCAUGACGAAGCCUCUUUUGGGGUGACGGUAGUGGUAGAAGAAGCACCGGCUAACUACGUG